UGUGACUGCGUACCUUUUGUAUAAUGGGUCAGCGACUUAUAUUCUGUAGCAAGGUUAACCGAAUAGGGGAGCCGAAGGGAAACCGAGUCUUAACUGGGCGUUAAGUUGCAGGGUAUAGACCCGAAACCCGGUGAUCUAGCCAUGGGCAGGUUGAAGGUUGGGUAACACUAACUGGAGGACCGAACCGACUAAUGUUGAAAAAUUAGCGGAUGACUUGUGGCUGGGGGUGAAAGGCCAAUCAAACCGGGAGAUAGCUGGUUCUCCCCGAAAGCUAUUUAGGUAGCGCCUCGUGAAUUCAUCUCCGGGGGUAGAGCACUGUUUCGGCAAGGGGGUCAUCCCGACUUACCAACCCGAUGCAAACUGCGAAUACCGGAGAAUGUUAUCACGGGAGACACACGGCGGGUGCUAACGUCCGUCGUGAAGAGGGAAACAACCCAGACCGCCAGCUAAGGUCCCAAAGUCAUGGUUAAGUGGGAAACGAUGUGGGAAGGCCCAGACAGCCAGGAUGUUGGCUUAGAAGCAGCCAUCAUUUAAAGAAAGCGUAAUAGCUCACUGGUCGAGUCGGCCUGCGCGGAAGAUGUAACGGGGCUAAACCAUGCACCGAAGCUGCGGCAGCGACGCUUAUGCGUUGUUGGGUAGGGGAGCGUUCUGUAAGCCUGCGAAGGUGUGCUGUGAGGCAUGCUGGAGGUAUCAGAAGUGCGAAUGCUGACAUAAGUAACGAUAAAGCGGGUGAAAAGCCCGCUCGCCGGAAGACCAAGGGUUCCUGUCCAACGUUAAUCGGGGCAGGGUGAGUCGACCCCUAAGGCGAGGCCGAAAGGCGUAGUCGAUGGGAAACAGGUUAAUAUUCCUGUACUUGGUGUUACUGCGAAGGGGGGACGGAGAAGGCUAUGUUGGCCGGGCGACGGUUGUCCCGGUUUAAGCGUGUAGGCUGGUUUUCCAGGCAAAUCCGGAAAACUAAGGCUGAGGCGUGAUGACGAGGCACUACGGUGCUGAAGCAACAAAUGCCCUGCUUCCAGGAAAAGCCUCUAAGCAUCAGGUAACAUCAAAUCGUACCCCAAACCGACACAGGUGGUCAGGUAGAGAAUACCAAGGCGCUUGAGAGAACUCGGGUGAAGGAACUAGGCAAAAUGGUGCCGUAACUUCGGGAGAAGGCACGCUGAUAUGUAGGUGAAGUCCCUCGCGGAUGGAGCUGAAAUCAGUCGAAGAUACCAGCUGGCUGCAACUGUUUAUUAAAAACACAGCACUGUGCAAACACGAAAGUGGACGUAUACGGUGUGACGCCUGCCCGGUGCCGGAAGGUUAAUUGAUGGGGUCAGCGCAAGCGAAGCUCUUGAUCGAAGCCCCGGUAAACGGCGGCCGUAACUAUAACGGUCCUAAGGUAGCGAAAUUCCUUGUCGGGUAAGUUCCGACCUGCACGAAUGGCGUAAUGAUGGCCAGGCUGUCUCCACCCGAGACUCAGUGAAAUUGAACUCGCUGUGAAGAUGCAGUGUACCCGCGGCAAGACGGAAAGACCCCGUGAACCUUUACUAUAGCUUGACACUGAACAUUGAGCCUUGAUGUGUAGGAUAGGUGGGAGGCUUUGAAGUGUGGACGCCAGUCUGCAUGGAGCCGACCUUGAAAUACCACCCUUUAAUGUUUGAUGUUCUAACGUGGACCCGUAAUCCGGGUUGCGGACAGUGUCUGGUGGGUAGUUUGACUGGGGCGGUCUCCUCCUAAAGAGUAACGGAGGAGCACGAAGGUUGGCUAAUCCUGGUCGGACAUCAGGAGGUUAGUGCAAUGGCAUAAGCCAGCUUGACUGCGAGCGUGACGGCGCGAGCAGGUGCGAAAGCAGGUCAUAGUGAUCCGGUGGUUCUGAAUGGAAGGGCCAUCGCUCAACGGAUAAAAGGUACUCCGGGGAUAACAGGCUGAUACCGCCCAAGAGUUCAUAUCGACGGCGGUGUUUGGCACCUCGAUGUCGGCUCAUCACAUCCUGGGGCUGAAGUAGGUCCCAAGGGUAUGGCUGUUCGCCAUUUAAAGUGGUACGCGAGCUGGGUUUAGAACGUCGUGAGACAGUUCGGUCCCUAUCUGCCGUGGGCGCUGGAGAACUGAGGGGGGCUGCUCCUAGUACGAGAGGACCGGAGUGGACGCAUCACUGGUGUUCGGGUUGUCAUGCCAAUGGCACUGCCCGGUAGCUAAAUGCGGAAGAGAUAAGUGCUGAAAGCAUCUAAGCACGAAACUUGCCCCGAGAUGAGUUCUCCCUGACUCCUUGAGAGUCCUGAAGGAACGUUGAAGACGACGACGUUGAUAGGCCGGGUGUGUAAGCGCAGCGAUGCGUUGAGCUAACCGGUACUAAUGAACCGUGAG
rnacentral:rRNA from 1 species